rnacentral:rRNA from 1 species
GACGAACGCUGGCGGCGUGCCUAACACAUGCAAGUCGUACGGGACUUGGGGGCAACUCCAAGUUCAGUGGCAGACGGGUGCGUAACACGUGAAGAACUUGUCCGGUGGCGGGGGAUAGCCGGCCCAACGGCCGGGUAAUACCGCAUACGAUCGCGCGGGGGCAUCUCUGCGCGAGGAAAGCAGCCGCAAGGUUGCGCCGACGGAGAGCUUCGCGGCCUAUCAGCUAGUUGGCGGGGUAAUGGCCCACCAAGGCGACGACGGGUAGCUGGU